rnacentral:rRNA from 1 species
UAGGGAAUCUUCGGCAAUGGGGGCAACCCUGACCGAGCAACGCCGCGUGAGUGAAGAAGGUUUUCGGAUCGUAAAGCUCUGUUGUAGGUCAAGAACGGGUGUGAGAGUGGAAAGUUCACACUGUGACGGUAGCUUACCAGAAAGGGACGGCUAACUACGUGCCAGCAGCCGCGGUAAUACGUAGGUCCCGAGCGUUGUCCGGAUUUAUUGGGCGUAAAGCGAGCGCAGGCGGUUUGAUAAGUCUGAAGUUAAAGGCUGUGGCUCAACCAUAGUUCGCUUUGGAAACUGUCAAACUUGAGUGCAGAAGGGGAGAGUGGAAUUCCAUGUGUAGCGGUGAAAUGCGUAGAUAUAUGGAGGAACACCGGUGGCGAAAGCGGCUCUCUGGUCUGUAACUGACGCUGAGGCUCGAAAGCGUGGGGAGCGAACAGGAUUAGAUACCCUGGUAGUCCACGCCGUAAACGAUGAGUGCUAGGUGUUGGAUCCUUUCCGGGAUUCAGUGCCGCAGCUAACGCAUUAAGCACUCCGCCUGGGGAGUACGACCGCAAGGUUGA